GCCAGCCUCCGUGAGAUGCAGCUCGAGUCUGAGACAGCACGGGGCAAGGGUCAGGAGUGGUCAGCAACACCACAAGGCCUCCUGCCUGCCUGCCGCCCAGGAGAUGCUCUGCCACCCUUGGCAGAGAUGGGAGCCACAGAAGAAGCACCACGCUGAGAUAAAGCACAAUCCUGCAAUUCGGGCCUCGGGGAAGAGUGAGAUUUAUUAACCUGCAACCUGAUGGAAGCCUCAUGUCAGCCUGGCAGCAACCAGCAUGCGUGGGAAGGUCGAGGGGCCACAGGAGGAAUACUCUACCCCAGGACAUCCGCAGUGUGACCCGGCCCGUGCACACCCCCACCCCUUCUCAGGCUGCCUCUGCUCAGAGUCACACAGGAAGUUCCCGGAUGUCAGCAGCCAGCGGCAGGACACCCUGCUGGAGACAGAAGUUCCUGUGCCCCCGGCCAUCCCCAGCCCCCGUGAAACUGCUGUAUGGGACCCUCACCACCACUCUCCCCUCAGGAGGCUGGGGGAGAGGGGAGUGAGGCUGGAAACAGCAGCUAACACUCUCGUAGCACUUAC